rnacentral:miRNA from 1 species
AGCAUUUUUUUAACGUUGCAAAAGACAGUCUUUUGAAACGUUUAAACAAUGUUGCAAAAGAUAGUCUUUUGCAACGUUAAAAAAGUGCUGCGAAAAUUCG